rnacentral:rRNA from 1 species
UACGUAGGGGGCUAGCGUUGUCCGGAUUUAUUGGGCGUAAAGGGCGCGUAGGCGGCCUGCUAAGUCGAACGUGAAAUCCCUGGGCUUAACCCAGGAACUGCGUCCGAUACUGGCAGGCUUGAAUCCGGGAGAGGGAUGCGGAAUUCCAGGUGUAGCGGUGAAAUGCGUAGAUAUCUGGAGGAACACCGGUGGCGAAGGCGGCAUCCUGGACCGGCAUUGACGCUGAGGAGCGAAAGCCAGGGGAGCAAACGGG